rnacentral:rRNA from 1 species
UACGGAGGAUGCGAGCGUUAUCCGGAUUUAUUGGGUUUAAAGGGUGCGUAGGCGGUUUUAUAAGUUAGAGGUGAAAUCUCGGGGCUCAACUCCGAAAUUGCCUCUAAUACUGUAGGACUAGAGAGUAGUUGCGGUAGGCGGAAUGUAUGGUGUAGCGGUGAAAUGCUUAGAGAUCAUACAGAACACCGAUUGCGAAGGCAGCUUACCAAACUAUAUCUGACGUUGAGGCACGAAAGCGUGGGGAGCAAACAGG